rnacentral:tRNA from 1 species
GGAGUCUCCUUAAGGGGUUUCUGACUGCAAAUCAGAAGAAAGACUAGUCUAGGCUCUG